CGGAACGAUUGUGCAAAGCAGCAUGGGAUUUCCCAGGCUACUUGUUAGCAGCAUUGCUGCUGACGUUGGCCGGCUCUCUGUACCUCAUGUCAGGACAGGUCUUUCCUGCCAGAGAGAAUGAAGGAAGUGAUUCCUCUCUGAUGACAGAGGAGGUGUGGACUCGUAUUGUGUUACAGGUGUUUUCAUCAGGAUCAUUCAUCAACGCUUCAGAAAAAGCCAUCAUAUGCCCUGGAUGAAAGCAGAGCGAAUGUGUCAUCUGAGGCCUUGCGCUUAUGUGAGUGCGUGUUCUGGUCUUGGUGUGAGGUCUCUGGAAGCCCAUUCGCUGCUGCUCCGAGAAGAUAAUACGCAUCCAUUGGUGGUGAGGGUUCCUGAAUGGAGGAAAAGGAAGAAGCAGCAAUGAAAGUUUUCCACUGUUCCUUAAUAAAGCAAUAAGCUAUGAGAGGGAAUGCAUUACAAUUAUUUUAGCAUGGGUAAGAGUGCUUAAGUGCUCUUUGGUAAAAUGUAAAGCAGAGUAAAAACCUCUGACGUAGGGCUGUGCGAUUAUAUCGAAUAUACUCGAUAUAUCGCCGAAAAUUCUGUGCGCGAUACAUACAAUUAUUAUAUCGUAACUAUCGAGUAUUUUAUGGUCAUCUUCCAACUUGCGUUUGUUUAAAACAUUUCCUGGUGGUUUUCUCCCUGUCCCUCAGGCAGUAACGUGAGAGGCUGCCUAAGGGUAAAGAAAACAAUAACGUCACGCACUCGCCAACCAAUCCUGGGCGACAUCUCGGUGCUGAAAGGAACUUCCGGGAAGAUUUUCUAGUUUCGGUUGUGUUGCCAGAUUGGGCGGUUUUAAGUGCGUUUUGGCGGGUUUUGAACAUAUUUUGGGCUGGAAAACGUCAGCAGUAUCUGGCAACACUGCCAGCGGGAAGAUUUCCUAGUUCCAGUUUACAGCGCUGACUCAGUUCGUGCAAUCGCUGGUGUUGCAUGGGCUACCGUGUAAGCUCUGGCCAUUUCAGCGACAAAUUAAAAAUGGAAGCGGACGAAUUGGUUCCUAAAAGAACUAGUAAGGGGUCAGUCAUCUGGCGUUUUUUGGAUAUCGCGAAGAGGACGUGGAGCAGCAAAUGCCAGUUUGUAAAGUGUGCAAAAAAACCUGUCAUCACGAAAGGCAGCAGCACGACAAAUAUGUUCCAUCACCUGAAACUCACCCGGUACAGUAUGCAGAGUCUCUUAAACUCAGAACUACCUGCCCACAAGCUAAACCCCCCCACAAGCUAAACAAAUGACCAUAGCGGCCUCAUUCUCCAAAGCCACCCCAUAUGAGAAAACGAGUCAGAGAUGGAGAGCUAUAACGGAUGCAAUCACUAACAUCAUUGCCGAAGACAUGAUCCCAAUUAGUAUAGUGGAAAAACCAGGCUUCCAAAAAUUACUAAACACACUCGAUCCCAAACAUGAGUUGCCUGGUCGCAGACAUUUUACAGAGAAGGCAAUGCCGGAAUUAUACACAUCUGAGAGGCAGAGCCAGAAAACAUUCAGUUCAAAAGUGUGCAAAGAGAAAAAUGAUGUUUUGCAGAUCUCUCUCUUCUCUCCCUCAAUCUCUCUCUCUAUUGUGAAUGUUCCAGUGGUUCUCAGUAGUCAGGUUAAUAGCUUGGAGAUCUAUUUUUUUUAAAUAAUUUAAUGAAAGAGCACUUUUCUUAUUUAGGCUAAAUGUCUCUCAGUGUUGAGUUUGCACUUUAUUGGUUUGAGCUCUGAGCAGCUCUGUAUUGUGUUGCCCCUUUGUUGCAAUUUUCAAGAUUGUUUUUGCAGUUUGUGCCACAUCUUUGUUGAAUAAAAAUAGUCUUAUUUCAA